rnacentral:rRNA from 1 species
GCGCAGCAGGCGCGAAAACUUCGCAAUACGCGCAAGCGUGACGAGGGAACCCCAAGUACUCCUGCUUUUUGCAGGAGUUUUUGCCAAGUGUAAACAGCUUGGAGAAUAAGGGCGGGGUAAGGCCGGUGCCAGCCGCCGCGGUAAUACCGGCCGCCCGAGUAGUGACCACUAUUAUUGGGCUUAAAGCGUCCGUAGCCGGCUCAGCAAGUCUCCCGUUAAAUCCAACGAUUCAAUCGUUGGACUGCGGGAGAUACUGUUGAGCUAGGAGGCGGGAGAGGCCGACGGUAUUCCCGGAGUAGGGGUGAAAUCCUAUAAUCCCGGGAAGACCACCAGUGGCGAAGGCUGUCGGCUAGAACGCGCCCGACGGUGAGGGAUGAAAGCUGGGGGAGCGAACCGGAUUAGAUACCCGGGUAGUCC